GGGUAGCUUGGAUCUCCGGAGUGGCUAGACCUAGUCAUCAAUCGCGACAAAGGUAAGUUUCCUAAGGCCAUUAUGGAUGGUGGCCGAAUGUGUAAGUAUUAGUAUUUAGAUGAUUUUUGGUUUGGUUCAAUUAUGGGAAGCUGAUUAUUAAUGAUGGAUUAUAGGAGAAAUCGUGUAGGAGAUCUCGUCGAGGAAUAUCGCCAAACAGGUGUGUAACGAA
rnacentral:lncRNA from 1 species